rnacentral:piRNA from 1 species
UGCCGCGCAAGACGCGAUCGACGCGGGC